rfam:Zostera marina strain Finnish scaffold_35, whole genome shotgun sequence.
GGUGAUGUAGCUCAAAUGGUAAAGCACUUACUUAGCAUGCGAGAGGUCAGGGGAUCGAUCCCCACUUCUCCA